UUUAACCCCAGAGAAGAGUA
rnacentral:tRNA from 1 species